rnacentral:antisense_RNA from 1 species
GGGUGCUUAAGGCUGUCUGGCUUAAGCAUCGGUCAGGCAGAGAAAAGCCCCACGAGGUUUAUACCAACGUGGGGCUAACACUCACACCUCAACAAUGUGGAUGUUAGCCUCUUAACCGCCGCAAGGCAAUGGAGG